AUACUAUUGCGUUUUUUAAUUGUUUUCUUUAAUGAGAACAGUAUUUUGUACCAUUGGUAAUGUUGUAUUUUAUAUGCAUUUAAAAUGAAUUUAAACGACAUAAAAAUUGAAGAUGUAUUUUAAAUUUAUCAUCGUUUUUAUUUUGUUGUCUUAGUGGAACCACAUUUAGUAACAGAGAAAUUCAAAACUCGUGUUGUCGCGUCUGUCAGUAAAAGUCUAGAGGGGUUACACCAUAAGUUUACCUCACUGGGUGACACCAAACUCAGCGACACCACGGAAGAAGCAAGACUCGAACCUCCGACCUUCAGUUUACAAAGUCGACGACUUUACCAAAUAAGCUAAACAACGCGUUUGAGAACACAAACAAUUAGGGUGGAAUGCAAGAAGCGAGCUCGACUUGAACUUUACAUUGCAACCAAUAGCGACACGGAAAUACGUCAUAAUCUUUGCCGCGAACAUCUACCAUUUUAGCUGGUGGAAAAUAAACUUUCGUUAUGAAACGAAAACAAUGGCAAAACAUAAAAGUCUUUAAAAUGCACAAGGGUUGUUGUGUCUUUAAGUGCUUUUUGAUAUAUAGAUAUA